AUUGAACGCUGGCGGCGUGCCUAACACAUGCAAGUCGAGCGGUAACAGGUGUAGCAAUACAUGCUGACGAGCGGCGGACGGGUGAGUAACGCUUGGGAAUCUGCCUAUUAGUGGGGGACAACCCGGGGAAACUCGGGCUAAUACCGCAUACGCUCUACGGAGGAAAGCCGGGGACCGCAAGGCCUGGCGCCAAUAGAUGAGCCCAAGUCGGAUUAGCUAGUUGGUAGGGUAAUGGCCUACCAAGGCGACGAUCCGUAACUGGUCUGAGAGGACGACCAGUCACACCGGAACUGAGACACGGUCCGGACUCCUACGGGAGGCAGCAGUGGGGAAUAUUGGACAAUGGGCGAAAGCCUGAUCCAGCGACGCCGCGUGGGUGAAGAAGGCCUGCGGGUUGUAAAGCCCUUUCAGUGGGGAAGAAAAGCCUCGACCUAACACGUCGGGGUCUUGACGUAACCCAUAGAAGAAGCACCGGCUAACUCUGUGCCAGCCGCCGCU
rnacentral:rRNA from 1 species